rnacentral:rRNA from 1 species
AGAAUCAACGCUGGCGGCGUGCCUAACACAUGCAAGUCGAACGAGAAAGUGGAGCAAUCCAUGAGUAAAGUGGCGCACGGGUGAGUAACACGUGACUAACCUACCCUUGAGUGGGGGAUAACCUAGGGAAACCUGGGCUAAUACCGCAUAAUACCUUCGGGUCAAAGGAGCAAUUCGCUUAAGGGAGGGGGUCGCGGCCGAUUAGUUAGUUGGCGGGGUAAUGGCCCACCAAGACUAUGAUCGGUAU